rnacentral:tRNA from 1 species
GGCGCGAUGGGCGAGUGGAUAGCCACCGGUUUCCUAAACCGGCUCAAGCAGGUUCGACUCCUGCUCGCGUCACCA